rnacentral:rRNA from 1 species
CCUACGGGCGGCAGCAGUGGGGAAUAUUGCACAAUGGGGGAAACCCUGAUGCAGCGACGCCGCGUGAGUGAAGAAGUAUUUCGGUAUGUAAAGCUCUAUCAGCAGGAACGAGACAAGACGGUACCUGACUAAGAAGCCCCGGCUAACUACGUGCCAGCAGCCGCGGUAAUACGUAGGGGGCAAGCGUUAUCCGGAAUCACUGGGUGUAAAGGGAGCGUAGACGGCUGAGCAAGCCUGAAGUGAAAGGCGGGGGGCCAACCCCCGGACUGCUUUGGGAACUGUACGGCUGGAGUGCAGGAGAGGUAAGUGGAAUUCGUAGUGUAGCGGUGAAAUGCGUAGAUAUUAGGAGGAACACCAGUGGCGAAGGCGGCUUACUGGACUGUAACUGACGUUGAGGCUCGAAAGCGUGGGGAGCAAACAGGAUUAGAUACCCCAGUAGUC